GCAUUGCUGAUGAGUCCAACAAUAAGACGAAACAGUCGUCCAGUGC
rnacentral:hammerhead_ribozyme from 1 species